GUAAAUUGGGGGAGAGCUUCCUGUUGGGGGUGUGUGGUUGCCCCCUGGCCUCCCUGCAUGCAUAAGUUUGCACUGCACAAUUUUUGCUUUCCCUUUGACUAUAUGCCUCCAUGAAUUAGUCUCUCUCUCUCCCCCCCCCCCACUCCAUUCCAAUAUGUUCUGUAAGGUGGACUUCUAGAAUGCAACACUGGUUGGCUGUUUUAUAUAAGGCAGAGGGAAGGCUUCUGUGCUUGCUUUUCUCGCCGUUUAGAACAGCACCUUAAAUAAAUGAUACGCUCCUUGGACCAAGGCAGGAGCAAACCUUCUGCACAGCUGUGCUCUUGGAAUGGAGGAACCCUUUUCUAUGCUGCAUGCUUUCCUCUGCAAAGUGGCAAUUCAGAAGUGUUAAAGGAGUAGCAGAAGGAUAUACAGCGAACCCAUGCUUGACAAUGAUUUCCUGAUGUUUCUGCUUCGCACGGCCAUAAUUAGAAUAAGUGUAUUGCAAUUACAGAAGAGGAACUCAUAUGUAAGGCAAAAGGUACUGACACAGACUCCCCUCUCCUUUCUCUCAUCGCUUUGCUCAAGCAGUUAGGAGCAGCUUUUAGCGAGAAAGAUCUGCCCUUUGAAUGUAUUUUAUUCCCCCUUUUAAAGUUUCAUUACUUCUCUCAAGCUCUCCCCCCCAUGCGAAAUGCGAUGUUUCCACGCUCUGUACAUGUGCUCCCUUAAAAGAUUUGUUUAGCUAAGGAAACCGCUGCUAAGCGGCGAGAAAGGAAUUAAAUGUAUAGAAUGAUAAGCUGCUGCUAAGACGUAUAAGAACACUUAAAUUAAUAAUAAGGACUUGUUCUGAGGCAAAAUUCAAUUUUGCUUCCUAUUAUGCAAUCUUUGCAUGUAAAGUUGCUUUAAUGCAAAAUAGCAGCUCAUCAAAAAUUCUGUUUUAUUGGUAUCAAAAAUUUAUGAUAUCCUGAGGCAUGAGGGGCCAGGGCGCAAGGUAGGCAAGCCAUGUCCUUUUAGCAAGUUUAGUGCUUUCUGAAAAGCAAUGUAUUUCAAACUUGGGGAAAAAUUAUUCCUGAGAUGAAGGUAUGGUGGUGGGGAAGUUUCGGUUGUGGUAAGGCUGCUUGCACGAGAAAGCCACUGAAUACUGGCAGUCAGUAAGCCAAAUAUAUUCUUUCGGCAGAGUUCAGAGAUGUCACAGGCAGCUGCUAUUAUUGGUUGGAGAAGGAAGAAAGGGGUCUUCUGAAGUGUUACUGGGAAAUCUUCAGUUUCCCAGCCUAUAUCAAUUGUAUAUGCUCUCUGACCCAUUUAUCAGCAAAUAUGAAUGUCUGUACAAAUGUAUAAAUGCAAGGGGCCAGACCUAGACUUGCUCAUGCUUAGAAUGGGCCCACUAAAAUCAACACGACUUCUUAGUCAUAACUAAUUUGUCCUAUUCAUUUAAAUGGGUCUACCUGAAGCACAAUUAAGUCUGGUUCCAACCAAAGCUGUCCAAAAAUGAAUUUGAUUUUUAUUUAUUUAUCUUUAUAAAAAAAAGCUUCACAUGCUUUUCUGUGCUAUCUUUAUUUCUCUCUUAGUACCAUGCUGUAAAGCACUGUGCAAGAAAACCUCACAACACACUCUCAACAGCCUCAUGAGGGUAGGUAAUCAAUAUAAGAAUCUAAUCGUUUUGCUGGUAGAUUUAAGCUGAUAGUGGCUCCUUCUGGCUGCAGGGGGAUCCAUGGAAAAAGUGAGCCUGGAACCCUGGUUUCCCAUGUAGUGGAGCAAAAUGAGUUGGGGGAAGGCCUGCAAUGUUCUCCAAAACAGUAGGCUAGUUUCUACACUCACACACCCCUCACUGUCCUCCAGACAAAAGGCGUUAUCAGAUUCCAAGGACACAUUCCUGCCAGGCGAAAACAGUCAAGGACUGUCGCCUGGUGCGAGUUUGUUGUGGCUAAGGAUGGUUGUGCAUGUGAUGUGGGGAGAGUCUUGAAGGCCAGGAUCCUCAACUCUGGUCUAAUGUGAGAGAUGCUGAUUCAGAAGUCUGUCUAGAAGCCAAGCUUUCUGAUCAAUGCCCUCCCACCAGAUGUCAAAGAGAACAACAACUACCAGACUUUAAGAAGACAUUUGAAGGCAGCCCUGUUUAGGGAAGCUUUUAAUGUUUGAUGGACUGCUGUAUUUUAAUAUUUUGUUGGAAGCCGCCCAGAAUGAUGGGCGGGGUAUAAAUACAAAAUUAUUAUUAAUUAUUAUUAUUAUUAUUAUUAUUAUUAAAGAGGCACAUGGAAGGGCAGGUUGUCAACACACUGUGGUAAGGAAACACAGUCUGUGUAUGCCCAGAGAUAGUUCCAUCUUUAUUGCUUCUUCCAGUGAGCCAUGGGGAUUGGAAACAGUAUCUGAUGCUCAGCUCAGAAAGGUGGCCUUACAUUCUGCACUGCACUCGCCGUAAUAGCAGAAUUAGUGCCCAUGUACUGGUGGAAAUGGAGUUUGGGCUGCUGAGAAACAAGAGGAAGGCAUCCUGAUGUUUACAGAUUUGGUUUUUUUAAUCGAACCCUGCCACAAAUAAAACAGAAAGAGACAUUCCCAUGCAUCCCAAGAGCCAAAUAGCACUGAGCAUGCCCAGUGGACACAGGUACCAGUGAAUGCCAGCUAGAUAAGAAAAACUGAAGGCAGGGUGGGGUGGGGAAAAUGAAAGGGCAGUUGGGCUGCUGGAACUCCCAACAGCUUUGUGUCUCGGAGGGUGGCAUGUCUGGCUGGCUGGCAUAAACAGGAGUGCUCUAUUUAGUGGAGGGUGUUAUACGGCAACAUUUUGUUCUACUUUUAGCACUGGGUGUAAUGAAAUACUUCUUUCUGUUGCUCUUUUUGUCUGACAGUUCUAAGUAAAGACCCCUUUAACGGCAGACUUACAAACACCACACAUUUGUUCUGGGUAUCUGCUGCCCAGUCAGCUGAUCUGGAUAUCAGUGGUGCUGAUCAGUGGUUUGGAGUGCCUGUGUCCAGUUAUGGGUCCAGGGACCCCUUAAUUGACCCGGGUGCUUUGUUUGCUGGGGGUGUUCCUAGGCAGAACUUCAUGCAUAUAGGUAGGCAGGUUGCUUGGGGAUCAACAGUUAAAUUGUAUUCUGCCACAUGCAGAUAGAAGUAGAAAUUUCAGAACUAAGAAACUCCUAAGUGAUUCACACAUAGUCUGGGAAAUCAGCUUUCUAUACAUUGUUGCUAUGACUAUAUUAUAAUAUAUAUAUAUAUAUAUAAUAAAGGGUAUAAUAAAUACGGUAUAUAAAAAUUAUUCUGGAGCUACAAGUCUAAGCAAGGACAGACUAAGCAGAAUCAAGCCUUCAUGAUGUUUGUUUCUAACCUACUGACUGUCUUAUUUCCUUCUUUAUCAUUCAGAGCUCAGUUUAAAAAUUGCUUUAUACAUUGUCUUGUCCACACAACAACCCCCAUGAGAAAGGUUACUAUUGUUCUUAUUUUGCAGAUGGGGAAACUUGCUGAAGGCCAUCCAGUGAAACCAUUGGUGCGUUGGGGAGAGUGUUUUGGAUGAACUUGGCCCAUGGGAUUGCACUAAUUUCCUCUUUACAGCAUGUGGCUAUUAGGACUCUAUUAGUGCCCUGCACAUCAUGGUGACCAAGAACCAGGAGAAGAAGCUAAAUGGAUUGCAAACCUACUUGAAUAGCACGAUGAAAAAUGGCUGAAUCAUCAGCCGUGUCUUCCUCACUUUGGAUCCUUCUCCCAUUUUGGGGUUUCUCCAUUCACCCCCCCUCAAAGUACAAUGUUAUUUUCAAGGGCAAGUUCAUUUCAGACUCUGGAUGGGGGUACCUUUUGUAAAUUUCUCCCUUGUUAAAAAAAACCAACAAUAAUCAAAUAUUUGCCUCCCUUCUCCCCACCAAAAAAGUGCACCAGGGACAAAGAUUGUAGACCAGCCUGCUGCUGGCAGGGCUAGUUUUGUAUGUCCAGAGGUUUCUUUCAUUUUUUUAAAGAAAAAGAAUACAAGGGAACAUUGUUUAUAACUGUGAUUCCCCCAUUUGUAUUUGAAGUGGUACACUCCUUUCUACCACCUCAUUACACCACCAUCUCAUUCGGCUACAUGGGCAGACCAGGCCUUAGGCAAGUUACUUUCUCUCAGACUCAGUGUCUCCCCUCAAUUCUGCAAUAUGGGGAUAAUGCUUGGUUGUGAGGCAGGAUUGCUGAGCUGAUGAAUGUGUAGUGCUUUGAACUCUCUAAGCACUUUAUAAAUGCUAUUAUUAGCACAAAACACAAAGACACAAUGUGCCGUUCCGUCCACUCCAAAAUAUACCUGAUUCACAAUCUCUAAUAAAGGUGAAUCACAGGUAAGAAUUGUGCGUCAUUUAUAAAAUGAAAAGAGCCAGAGUUGAAGCCUUUCUUGAAGCCAGAUUGUAUGACUGGAAUCAAUUCUAUUGUUAGAAAGUUUAAUGAUAGUAACGGUGAAUGGAAGGCACUUUGUACGUGUUUCAGUGUGCUCUUGUCUUGAUUAUUUAUGAAUGUCUAUGAUGCAGGUAUAAGUCCUGACAUUGAAAACAGGUUCUGAAACUAAGCCUGGUGAGUCUUAACUAAAAUUAAACCCAGAAUAAGAGUUAAAUUUGCACUCAGAAGAAGGCUGUGUAGUAAUGUCACCCAGUUCCAUAAUUUAUGAAGCAAUUUGGAUCACACUUAAACAUAGCAGACUUAUCAUCUUGUCUCUGGAAUAGAAUUUAAAGACAUUGUUUAUAAUAAAUCAUUGCAACUCUA